rnacentral:tRNA from 1 species
GGGAAUAUGGCUUAGUGGUAAAGUGCUUGCCUAGCAUGCAUGAAGCCCUGGGUUCGAUUCCUCAGUACCA